GAGCUCAGGCCCCACCGGAGCCACAGUGCAGUUGUCGAGGAAAGCGCCUGGAUGCACUGAGGGUCCGGGAUCUAGCCCACAGUGAACAUAUUUUUUUUCGGCAUUUGUGGCAUCAUAAAUGUUUCCAUGGAAGCAGACCAUCAAACACAAGAUGAUGGCCUCUGUGGAGGAUCAAAGGGGGUCUUAGGCCACACUCAACUGGACUAGAGAGAUGGCUCAGGUAUUGGAGAGUAAGGAGACUUUAUGCUUAAGGUACAAGACAGGAAGCAGAAGACGUGUGCUAUCUUCCCAGCUGUGCCACAGAAGAUACCCAUAUUGCCUACUGAGAAGCAGCUAGACCAGGGGUCAGCAACCUUUCAGAAGUGGUGUGCUGAGUCUUCA